UAUACGACCACAAAAAUAUUUUGUGGUCGUAUAUUGGUAUGACGUUGGCGUCGUCGUCGUCGUCGUCCGGCGUCGUCCGGCGUCGUCGUCCGGCGUCGUCGUCCAGCGUCGUCGUCCAAAUACAUAUUGGUUUUCGCACUCUAACUUUAGUUUAAGUGAAUGGAUCUUUUUGAAAUUUGACCAUAAGGUUAAAUACCACAAAAGGAAGGUUGGGAUUGAUUUUGGGGGUUAUGGUACCAACAGUUAAGGAAUUAGGGGCCAAAAAUGAGCAUUUUCUAGUUUCCAGACAAUAACUGUGGAACGGUGUAUGGAUCUCUCUGAAAUUAUACUACAAGUUUCCAUACCACAAAGGGAUGGUUAGGAUUUGCUUUGGGGGGUUAUGGCUCAAACCGUUUAGGAAUUAGGGGCAAAAAAGGGGGAAAAACAAGGUUGUCCUGGUUAAUGGACAAAUACUUUAGUACAAAACAUAAUUUAAAGCAGUGUAAGGGAGAUAAAUCAAAUACAUCAUUGAAAUUAUCUCCCUUACACUGCUUUUAAAUUAUGUAUAAAGUAAUGGUUAAUGAACAAUAAAGAUAAUCUAAAACAGUGUAAGGGAGGUAAUCCAAAUACAACGUUUUGGUUACUUCCCUUACACUGCUUUUAAAUUAUGUUUAAAGAAAUGCAUAUUUAUAAAGGAAGACCAGUAAAAAUAUCUGCAAAUGUUUUCAUCUUUUUUUUUUACAAAAAAAUCCAUAUGAAAGAUUUGACACUAUAUUUUUAUUAAUUCUAUUAUAAAAUAGAUUAAGUUAGCACUAUGGUAAAUUUAAAUGUGUAAUUAUGGUUGCCAACUCCAUUGGAAAUUUGAAUUGAGAUUAUGACCAUAUCUUGAGGGAAAGAAUUUUUUUGGGGAAAAAAGGGGGGGGGGGGAAUAAAAAGAAAUUGUGGGGGGCCAAUUUUUUCUCAUUUCAGAUUUCAGAAAUUAAAAAGAAUUAUUCUUCAAAUAUUAUUUUUUUUUCAAAUUUCAAAUAUUGAAAAAUUUCAAGAAGUAAUCUUUAAUUGCACAGUAUGGCGCAUUAGAUUUGUAAAAUCUUUGAUCACAUUUAUUUAUUUGUUAUGCCGAAUCUAACAGUGUAUUUAGAUUUUUAAUUUUGGGUCCAGUUUUCAAAUUGGUCUACAUUAAUGUCCAAAGGGUCCAAAAUUAAACUUUGUUUGAUUUUAGCAAAAAUUGAAUAUAUGAGGUUCUUUGAUAUGCUGAAUCUAAACAUGUAUUUAGAUUUUUGAUUUUUGGCCAAGUUUUCAAGUUGGUCCAAAUUGGGGUCCAAAAUUAAACUUUGUUUGAUUUCAACAAAAAUUGAAUAUAUGGGGUUCUUUGAUAUGCUGAAUCUAACCAUGUAUUUAGAUUUUUUAUUUGUGGACCCCGUUAUCUAAUUGGUUCAUAUUGAGGUCAAAAGGGUCCAAAAUUAAACUUUGUUUGAUUUCAUCGAAAAUUGAAUUAUUGGGGUUCUUUGAUAUUCCAAAUCUAACCGUGUAUUUAGGUUUUUAAUUUUGGGUCCUGUUUUUUAAAUUGGUCUACAUUGAGGUCCAAAGGGUCCAAAAUUAAACUUAGUUUGAUUUUAACAAAAAUUGAAUUCUUGGGGUUCUUUGAUUUGCUGAAUCUAAACAUGUGUUUAGAUUUUUGAUUAUGGGCCCAGUUUUCAAGUUGGUCCAAGAUAGGGUCCAGUAUUUAAACUUUGUUUGAUUUCAACAAAAAUUGAAUAUAUGGGGUUCUUUGAUAUGCUGAAUCUAAACAUGUAUUUAGAUUUUUGAUUUUUGGCCAAGUUUUCAAGUUGGUCCAAAUUGGGGUCCAAAAUUAAACUUUGUUUGAUUUCAACAAAAAUUGAAUAUAUGAGGUUCUUUGAUAUGCUGAAUCUAACCAUGUAUUUAGAUUUUUUAUUUGUAGGCCCCUCUAUCAAAUUGGUUCAUAUUGAGGUCAAAAGGGUCCAAAAUUAAACUUUGUUUGAUUUCAUCGAAAAUUGAAUUAUUGGGGUUCUUUGAUAUGCCAAAUCUAACCGUGUUUUUAGAUUUUUAAUUUGGGUCCCGUUUUUUAAAUUGGUCUUCAUUGAGGUCCAAAGGGUCCAAAAUUAAACUUAGUUUGAUUUUAACAAAAAUUGAAUUCUUGGGGUUCUUUGAUAUGCUGAAUCUAAACAUGUGUUUAGAUUUUUGAUUGUGGGCCCAGUUUUCAAGUUGGUCCAAGUUGGGGUCCAAAAUUAAACUUAGUUUGAUUUCAACAAAAAUUGAAUAUAUGGGGUUCUUUGAUAUGCUGAAUCUAACCAUGCAUUUAGAAUUUUUAUUUGUGGGCCCCCCUAUCAAAUUUGUUCAUAUUGAGGUCAAAAGGGUCCAAAAUUAAACUUUGUUUGAUUUCAUCAAAAAUUGAAUUAUUGGGGUUCUUUGAUAUUCCAAAUCUAACCGUGUAUUUAGAUUUUUAAUUUUAAGUCCCGUUUUUUAAAUUGGUCUACAUUAAGGUCCAAAGGGUCCAAAAUUAAACUUAGUUUGAUUUUAGCAAAAAAUGAAUUCUUGGGGUUCUUUGAUAUGCUGAAUCUAAACAUGUGUUUAGAUUUUUGAUUAUGGGCCCAGUUUUCAAGUUUGUCCAAGUUGGGGUCCAAAAUUAAACUUUGUUUGAUUUUAACAAAAAUUGAAUAUAUGGGGUUCUUUGAUAUGCUGAAUCUAACCAUGUAUUUUGAUUUUGGACAUUGGACCAUAAUAGGUAAAUUAAAAAAAUUCAAGUUCUUA